rnacentral:rRNA from 1 species
GACGAACGCUGGCGGCGUGCUUAACACAUGCAAGUCGAACGGUGAAGCGCCUUCCUUUUUGGUGGGUGUGGAGGAGUGGCGAACGGGUGAGUAACACGUGAGUAACCUGCCCCCUUCUUCUGGAUAACCGCAUGAAAGUGUGGCUAAUACGGGAUAUUCUGGGUCUGUCGCAUGAUGGGUCUGGGAAAGAUAUUGUUUCGGUGGGGGAUGGGCUCGCGGCCUAUCGGCUUGUUGGUGGGGUGAUGGCCUACCAAGGCGGUGCGGGGUAGCCGGCCUGAGAGGGUGAACGGCCACACUGGGAAUGCGACACGGCCCAGACUCCUACGGGAGGCAGCAGUGGGGAAUAUUGCACGAUGGGAGCAAGCCUGAUGCAGCGACGCCGCGGGAGGGAUGGAGGCCUUCGGGUUGUGAACCUCUUUCGCCAGUGAAGCAGGCCUGCCUCGUUUGUGGGUGGGUUGACGGUAGCUGGAUAAGAAGCGCCGGCUAACUACGUG